rnacentral:tRNA from 1 species
GCCGAAGUGGUGGAAUUGGUAGACACAGGGGACUUAAAAUCCCCCGGCCUUAACGGGCUGUACGGGUUCAAGUCCCGUCUUCGGCA